AGGUAUUGCACAGUGGUAUUUCUAAUUCUAUCAUUCGUUUAACUUUAGUAUUUAAAGCUUUUAAAAAACUUUAAUCAACUGUGGUUUUCUUAAAAUACAAGAUAGAUCAUGUUGAUUGUUACAUUUACCAGUUUUACCAUCUGACAACCUCAAGAGGUAAGUCAUGAGUUUUUUAUACACUUGUGCUUUAAUCCGUUGUCACAGUUUUUUUAUGUCCAAAUCGUGUGAUUUUUGGCUAACGAGAGCCACUUCAUAUUGGCUUCUGUAUCCUUUUGGUUAUUGAUAGCUUACUUGUUUUCAGGAAUAAGAUGUUCCAGUCUUACAUAUUUCCUUUUCAGAAUGUGGAAUCAAGAGCUACGUUUUUUUGGGUAGAAAAUUAAAGCCUUGAUAACUAUUUAAAUUAUCAGGUAAUAUAAAAAUCAGAUGACAUUAAUGGUGUUAUUAACUGAUUCUAUAAGGGCAUUGGAACAUUUUCUAACUUGUCCUUUAUGGGAAAUGUUUAAGGCUGACAGAAAUUUGGUUUUUUUUUGUUUUGUUUUGUUUUUCUCAUUUUCAUUGCAAAUAAUAGGCAGAUAACAUGUACUGUAUAUUAAUUUUUCUUUCAAAAUUAAAUUUAUCCAUGUCUAUUGGGAAUCUCAGGAGAUUGAUUAUAAAAGUCAAGAUUGUUUUUUCUGAGUGGUUAAAAGCACUUUAAAGUUGUAUUCAAAUUAAGUUGUAGCUCCUAUGUAGAACUGUGUACAUAUCAAGUCGUGAAAGAUAUUGGAGCUGUAUGAAUCCAUCAUAAAAACUGGUGCCCAAAUUGCUCCCCUCAUUAAAAUUUGACCCAGUUUCAUAGUAUGGGUUUUAACAGCGACUGACCACAUUUGAGUGAUGGUCUGUGCAGAGGUACCAGUUAUUGGUGAGUCUUUACAUCUGGCUAUAAGGCAGUCCUGGUAAGGAAUGAGUGUUGGAUGAUGGCCAAAAGUGAACUGUGAAGUUGACCCUGUGACUGAUCAAGCCACCAAAGUUCUCUCCAGUGCUUGAGUAAAGCCCAGUGCUUAAAUAAAGCCAUCACCAAGGGGACCACCCCAGAGUACUGGCAAAAUCCUUCCUCUACUACCUCUAUUGUAUCCGUCCUGAAAGGAUGCACUAUUUUUUCCAGAAUGUGGAAACCAACCAUAGUUUAAAAUUUUUGCAUUUCGCAUCGUAUAUUGGCUCACAAAGCAUAUUAUGGUAACAUUUUUCUAGGCUCUGUUUUCUUAGCGGGCCAGUGAAAGUGUGACACAGGCUGUGAAGUGUUCCUUCCUCCACCCCUCCCAAAUAUUUUUUGAUCCUUUCCAAAGAUGAGAAUUGAAAUCAUGUUUGAGAUGGUCUCAGCACCUGUCAUGGGCCAUAGUUUGUAUUUUGAGAGUCAUGUUGAUUGGCCUAAUGUUUAGAAAAGUCCUAAUCUUGAGAAAUUGGGAUUGACUAGGAAUUUAGAGGACACAUUUAUGUUUCAAUUAAUUUAACUUGUGGACAUGAGUCUUAUUUUUGUCCAGAAGUCAUGUCUUUAAUGGCCAUUACUGUAAGUCAUCAGUAGGGGGUCAUAGCCCCACAUUCUCAGGACAUUCUGAUCAUUUGAAGCACGGAGAGUUUCGUAAGUCUGUAAUGGGUUUCUAAGUACUUGUUCAUGUAGCUCAUACAAGUUCCCAGAACUACUCAUGGUCAACUCAAACUGUUUCUUUUCCUUUCUUGUGUUUUUCUAUCCUUCUCAGUUUUGUAGUUGAGGUGGAACUAAGUAGAAUGUACUACUUCCAGGCCUUUAGGAUGUAGUUACUUGAGAAACACCCCCACCGUGGUUAAAAGAAUUUCACUUUUUUUUUUUUGUAAUCAGUCAGAACAGUUUAUACUUAUAUUGUGAUUCUUGUCAAAAGAUUUAUUUUGAGGGAGAAGGACAUAUUUGGGGAAUUAGAUCUAGUUUGGAGGAUUUACCCCCAAUUAACUUAAAACAGAAGGCUUUUUUUUUAAACUAGAUUUUUAAAAACUCUUAAUAGCAAUUUGAAUUUUUAAGAAGUUUUACUUCUUUAGGAUAUUAGAGAAGAUUAUGUUACUUGGUCUGAAAUGGAUUCAUUUAUGUAUCUUCCUAGCUAACUAUUAAAGAGCUGAUUACGGUAUCACUUUGCAAAUAGGGAAGUAAGGCAGAGGGAGGUGUUUUUUUUACUUUGGGGUGAUAUAAUAAACACUGAAUCAGAUAUCCGUCAGUACCUAAAAAUAAGAUUAAUGUGCAACCAAGUCUUUAUAGAAGGAAAGUUAGAGAUACACUGUAAGAUACAUAAAGUUAUAAAAAUGGUUUAGAACAGAGUACAAAUUCAUUUUGUCCUUGCCUCUUUAGAACAUAAUUCCAGUUCAGUGUUACAAACAGCAGUUGGAGUAGUGUUUCUUCAAAUACAAUAGUUCUUCCUCCCCUGCAUCAGAAUCACCUGGAGUAAAUAGAAUUAUUUAAGUGAAACAAGGAGAACAGAAAGAUUAGAUCCUUAAAGGAUUUAGGGAGAAGUUUUCAGGAUCUAGCACUUAAGACAUUCUGUGAAAGGAUGGGGCUGUGGGUUGGUGUUAGGGAGGAAAAUGUACUCAACAUCUGAUGAACUAUGGUAUUAAAACUAAGUGCUGUGCUACAUUCAUGGUUCCUUGUUUGUCUGCCACCUAAUAAUGUGGUGGCUUACAAAGUUAGGACCUCUUGAGCAUCUUCCAAACUAGAUAGACUUGAAUGCAAAUACCAUUUCUGUCACUGCUAGCUUUGUAACCUUGGAAAAGUUGCUUUAUAAUUACCUUAUCUACAAGGACAAGAUAGUGCCUGUCCUUGUUGUGUCUUGAUGAAGAAUAAAUGACAUCAUGUAAAUUAGGUGACACAAUGCAUAGUCAAGUUGUGCAGCUUGUAUCAGUGAAGAAGUUGAAAAGAUUAUAAUAUCUUUUCUAAAUGUUUUUAAAAAAUUGUUUAUAAGGAAGCUUCAUUUGUAAUAAAACUGCUUUCUUGACUUAGAUUUCUGCUUUUUUUACGAAGUCUCCUUAGAAACCCAGUAGAAAUAAAUGAGAACUUCUUCCUUUGAAAAAAAUGCAGUGUGUUGACAUAGGUGAAAUGUAAUCUCUAACCCCUGGUAAAUUAUAGCUGCUCCAAAAACACUGAGCAUGAUUCUGGGUAAAAGAAAACAUCUUUCAGAAAGAGUGUUGCUUGAGCUAGUUCACUUGAGAAACGCAAAGUAUUUCCUAGUUAAGUUUUUCUUCCUCUUAGAUCCCCAAGGCUUGAUUUGGUCUGUUUUCCUAAGAAUUGUCUCUGCCUAAACUUCUGAACAAAUAUAUUCCAGGGCAUAUGAUUAACUAAGAUGAUACGGAAACUCUAAACAAACUGAGUCAAUUAGCUGGAAUUGGUCUGGGUUGCCAGCAUGCCACUUUCUCUACCUUUGUUCUCAGUGAAUCUGAUUACUAAUGACUAGUAUGCCCUGAUAGCAUAGAACGAGGAGCAUAUGAAAGCCAUAGAUUGUCUACUGAGCUGCUCCUUUAUAACAAGGAACAGUUUUAACUGCUGUAAGGCACUUAAACAGAAUGACAAUUUAUAGGUGUUGGCACUAGAAAUGAUUUCUGUUGCUAUGGCUAAAGACCAUAGGGGUGCUUGAAAGAGUCUGGAACAAAACAUUCUUCCUGCUGAAUUUCUCAAGUUUGAAAGUAAUGUUUGCUUUAUGACCUGGAAAAAGGAUCUCUAACUGGAAUGUGUAUAAUUUACUUGUCCAGUUAUUUAUACUAAUGUGAAAUUAUACACACAAUCUAAUUCUCUUGUGUUAUAUUUUCUUACAUAUAUCAGAUCUUGUCUGUUCUUAAACCUCACAAAUCUGAUGAAUGUGUGCUACUAGGACAGCACUCGAUUCAUCUUAAACAGGCACCAUGGACUGUUCUCUGCGAUACCCGUCUGCCAAGCUGCCCUGCCUUGGAGCUAGCCAAUAUGGACUGAAACCUCUACAACUAUGAGCUAAAUAAACCUUUCCUCCUUUUAAAAAAAUACUGUUCCCCGCUGAAAAAAACUUUGUCCAAGGAAUAAAAGACAUUCCUUACAUAGUGAGAUGCUACUACUGUCUCUCUAGAAAUAAAACCACAACAUCCCUUU